CGUGCGGAAUUAAACUAAAAAGAGGUUACAGCUGUUAUAGACGAUAGACGUUGUGUAUUGAUCAUCUUUUUUCCACAAACAAAUUGGUCUUACCUUCUUCAACUGGGAGUAGUAUGUUCAUUUGUAAUGACAGUAGCCAAAUUGUUUCAGCUUGAACGCUACCGCCGAGGAACUAACUGCUGAGGCUCUAACCAAAGAGGCUCUGACCUCCGAAGAUUUUACGUCUGAAGAUUUUACUUCCGAAGAUUUUACCUCCGAGGCUUUCACCUCCGAAAAUUUUACCUCCGAGGAUCAAAAAACCGACGAUCUUGACCUGGCUAAAAAACUUGAAGAAUUACUAAAAAAGUUGAAAGAUGCCAAAACUAAACUGGACCUUGACUGGAAGACAUUAUCUAAGGAAUUACUUAAAAUGUUAAAAGAUGCCGCAAAGGAUCUGAAUCUGGACUGGCUAAAACUACUAGAGGAAUUACUAAAGAAGUGAGUCAAAUAACAAAAAACCUGUAAUCACCAAAUAAAGAACGACGUACUACGUUAAACUUAUUCCAAACUAGCUGUCCGGCGAAAAACGUACCGCCUAACAGUUGAUGAUAACAAUGCAGCACAUGCAUUUUGUUGUUAAUUCCUCAUUUCUUUAUCGUUUAAAAAUUCCCCGGACUUAAAUAAAAUUAGACUAAAAUAAGCAAAAUCCGUUCA